GCCCCGGCGGCGGCGGGCCGGGGCUACCCGGUUCCUCGGGGGGGGGGGAGUUCCUGGCGUUAAAGCCCCGGGCAGACGUUCUCUGUUUAACCCCACGUACAAGGCAACGUGAUCGCGGGGGGCUCCGCUUCCCACAGCCCUGCCGCUCCCGGCCGGUCCUCUCCGGGAGCCGCAGCCCGGCUCCCGCACCGCCUGGAUGGCCCCGGGCCCCGCGUCCUGCCCGCAGCCGGGGCCGGUUCCCCCCGUCCCCGCCCCGGAGGCUGCCGGUGUCCCGGCGGCUCUCGGCUCCCGCUGUCGCUAAGUCAUUAAUGGAUGCAGAUGUGCGGAGGGAGGUGGGCUCGGCCGAGCGGCGUCGCGGCGACCGGACAGCGGGCGAGGCGGAGAGGAGAACUCCCCCCACUGCUCUGAUCACCGGGAUCCAUCCACAUCCCUCACCGGGAGCAGGGAUGGGGCACCAGAGCCCCAGGAAGACACCCCCUCACCCAAAACACCCUCAGCCUGGAAAUCCAGGGAUGGAGGAGCCCCGUGGGUGCCAUGGACUGGGCAUUCCUGCCCCUGGGAGCUCCCAGGCUGCUCCUGGAAUGGGUCUGCAGCGACCAAGCUCGUUCCACCCCAUCCCUCCGGGACGAGGCAGCGCCGGCGGAUCCGGGCUCGGGAUGUUGGCUUGGCUUUCCCAAGGAUGCUCAGCAGCCCUUCAGCUCUCCUGGACGGGGGAGGUCUGUGGGCACGUCCAGCACCCCAGCACUCUGCUGCCAGUCACCUCCCAGCUCCAGCACCAGGAGGGAGCACCAAACCAGCACCAAACCAGCACCAAACCAGCACCAAACCAGCACCAGAACCCCUGUUGGCACUGGAGGAUUGACCCUGUACCACCGUGCUCCGAACUGAAGGACUGAGCAGAAGAUGAUGGAAAAGCUGGAAAGGGACCAGUUUGGUUCAUUGAUCCUGGGGCAUCUCCCAAAGUCCGACGAAGUGGUCCCAAAAUGCAGUUCCUGUAGGCUGGGGCAGCGUGUGGGAGCCACUCCGAGUCAUGGAAGGGGAUUUAGUGCCCCUGAAGAUCCUGCCUGGCUGUUGGAAGAGCCACGUAGGAAUUUCUGGAGAAUCUGGGAACAACCUUAACAGCCCACACUGGCCCAACCUCCUCCCACCCACAGAGAUCCACAGCUUCAGUCCUGGUUUUGGUAAAGUUUGGAAUAACUCAGCAGGAAUUUGGAUUCACAUCUCUUCCCUUCUUGCCCCGAUCCAGGAAAAGUUGCCCUUUCUCAGGAUUUUCCAAAUCCCAGCAGACCAGGGCCAUUGCUGUCCCAUGCACCUUCACUGAUCCUCUCCUUUCACCCCCAAAUAUUAAGGUUUUCCUGGUUGAACCCUUCCCAAAUAAACCCCUCUGCUUAAAUCAUCUGCUUCACAGCUCGGGAUGCCGAGGAGCUUCCCGAGGAUUUCCAUGGGCUCAGGGCACACCCUUGAAUCCCCCCCAUGCCCUGGGCGUGCUCAGGCUGCACCCACCCGUGGAAGAAGGAUAAAAUAUUCCUCUCUGGAGGUCUGGGAAGGAGUUUUUGAUUUCUUUUAACCCGUGGAGGGAACUGGAGAGAGCGAGAGGCAGAGCUGAACGAUCCAGCGCUGCGCUUCCCACGCCGGAGCUGGGGGGAGGCUCUGCAAAACUUGGGAAAAGCAGGAAAAUUCCUCCACCUGUUUGCUUUCAAAUAGGGAUUCGUGGGGUUUUUUUGGUGAGGAAAGGGAGGAAUAAAAGCCGGAGGGCCGCCAACAGUGCCCGGACCGGAGCGGGGGGCAGGACCCGCCGCUCCACACCCACCACGGGGGCCGGAGGAGCAGCCGCUCUUCCCGGCUAUAAAUCCCGCCGGAUCGGGGUUAUUGAGAUGCAGGGAGCGGGGGGAACGAGGUGACCGGAGACUCCAUAAAUAUUAUUGGGGGCGACGGGGCUGAGCGGGGCCGGCGGGCGAGGACAAAGCGCCCAUUGAGCUCCCGGCGGAGCCGCGACGGCCCAGCUGCCGCGGGGACCGGGACGGGGGUCAAGGUCAGAGGUGGCCCCUGCCUGCAUUAUUCCCACACACCCCCCCUUCCCCCCCACCCCCCGAACCCUUUUCCUCAUGCCCAUAAACUUAAUAAAGCUCCCCGGGAGUCCCUGUGCCCGCGGAGGGCGGCGGGAGAAGCGGGAGCCGGAAGGGAAAGGGAGGGAGGGCCCGGGGUUGUGCCCGCUCUGAGGUGGCUUUGUGCCCUUUUGGGGUCUGUUUAACGACAGAUAAGCUUGGUUUAAGCUCUGGUGGGCUUGGCACCCCCAGCUCUGCGCUGGAGGAACCCCGGGAUGGGGCCGAGCUCACCCGUGCCCACCCCGAACCACCCAGCGCCCUGUGCCCGCUUUCCCCCAUUCCCUCCAUCCCGGGGGUUUCUCCACGUGGAUAUAGAGCUGGAGCCUUCAGUUGGGCACAGCCCCCUCCCCAGGACCCGGGGGCUCAAUCCUGCUGCCACACAAACUUGGAUUUUCCCCGAUCUUUGACUCCCUUGGCAACGCUCGUUUCCAUGGCGAAGGGCCGGGAACCUCCACGUGGACGCCGAGCUUUCCCCCCGGGUGGAAUUCAGCUCCUUUCACCGGGGUGCUGCCCCUUGGGGGGAGGUCCCCAGCACCCCUGGGGGCUGCCCACCCUGGGGUGGGGCAGCUCUGAGCCCGCAGAGCACGGAGGGUGUGCCUGGGAAUAGAUAUGGGGCGAGCAAAGCCUCUUCUGGAAAAGGAGAGGGGUUUGUGGUGCCCCCCAAAACGCUGCUGCUUCACCCCUGCGAGCUCAGCUCUGGAGCCUCAGGGUUUGAAGGCAGGGCCAUGUCCAGCUGCAGGGCAGUUUUAUUCCAAAAUUAUGCUAAUGAGCCAGUUUUCCUUUGCUUUUCCACAUCUCCAAGGCUUAAUGAACUUUGGCAAACGAGGAGCAGGACACGGGGACAGCGUUGGGUGCUGGUGGGUGCUUUGGAGCCCCAGUGCUGGGAGUGCACCUGGGAGCUGUUCCCAAAGGGAUGUGAGUCACUGCAAGGUCAGGAUUCCCGCAGAAAAACCAAAUGGAAAGGGUGGGGUUUUUUUUUCAGUUUCACAAAAAAAAUCCCACACUCUCUGCUCCCCUCGGCGCUGCCAGAGGAAGGGGUUUAAUUCUGCUUUCCAUCCUCGGUGGGUAAAAACUCCACGUGGGAGCAACAGCAGUGACAGACCCUCCGUGGGGACAUUCCCUCCAGGAAUCACCCAGAGCCACCAUUUUUCACCCCAGAGCCACCAUUUUUCACCCCAGAGCCACCAUUUUUCACCCCAGAGCCCCAAAUCAUCAUUUCUGUGGGUGCAAGACCCCCCUCUGGCAUGGCUGGGUUUUCCCACCUCCAUCUCCCCGGGAGGAGGGAGGGAACUCCUUCCUCUCCACGCUUCCCCCUUGCUGCAGUGGAAGCGAAUUCUUGCAGCAGUUCGUGCCCUGAAGGAGCCUUAAAACCUCCCAAAUUUGACAGCCAAAAAUAGCUGUUGCUCUGCUUGUUUCCAAGUGUUCACUCAUCCCGAUUUAUUUGAAUUCCUGCCCACGCUUUGAAUCCCAAAUCCCGGGCAGGGGGGGGGGGAGAAAACCUGCAUCAGUCAUGGCAAUGCUCCUGUGCUCGCUUAACAGGGGGUGGGAUCAUAAUUUUUCCUUUGCUGGAAGGAUGUCUCCUGCUCCAGGGGUGCUGGGGAGGGCUGGAAAAGCUGGAAAACCUCCUGGAGUUAAUCUUCUCCUGGGAUUUCUGAGUAUUGGGAUUGUGUGGCUGCUCCAAGAGGGUUUUUCCCAGCCCUUGGUAUUCCUGUUUGGGGGAGAGAGGAUGGUGGCAUGGCCGUGCCCCUCCUCUCUCCUGUGCCAGAGCUGAUCCAUGGGGAUGGAGCAGCCCCUCAGCAUUCCUCCUUUUCCAUCCAGGGGGUGCUGGAAAGCGAAAUUUGGCAGAUUUUCGGUGCAGAAGGAGCCAGGUCAGGAAUCCACAGGGAAAACCCAGUGCAGGGGGCACGGCCAGGACGAGGCUCCUGGUGGGGUGGACACGUCCUGCACGGAAAAUCCUCUUUGCAGCAGCUUGCACAGCCCCAAAUCUCCCUCCUUGGAGGUGUUUGGGGUCACCCAGGGCCGACUCUUGGGUCACUGUGACCCCGCUUGGGAAGUUUGGGAACUGUGGAGGGUUUGCAUUUGUGAUCCCCCCGCCCGGUGAGAGGGUGAGGAGGGGUUCCAAACCUUCCCAAAAAGCUGGAGAAGGAGGGAUGAAGGGCUGUGGGGGGAGGAAGGUGCCCCCUCAUCCUCCUCGUCUUCCCGUGUCCCCCGAAACAGGCUCAGCUCUCCUCACACCCCCCCCCCAUCUCACCUCCACCACGCUGCUGGGAGGAGGGAGAUUAAUCCCUAUGGAAAUUUAUUUAAAUGAAUUCCCUCCUGGACGCUCAAGCUGUUCCAAGGCUGGUGAGGGCAGGGCUGGGGGGGAGGAGGGAGUGCAGACCCCCCCGGGCACCCCAAUCCCCAAUUACAGCCCCAUAUCCAGGGGGUUGUUCCUCCCUCAGGCACUUCUGGGUUGUGCCCCAAACCCGGGUUUGAACCCCCAGAUCACCCCAGGGCUCCCUGGGAGGUGCCUUGGUCCCGGGUUGGAGCACGGAGAAGGUGCUGGUGGCUCUCACUGUGUCCCAGAAAAUGCUGGGGGAACAUCCCAAGGGGUUCGGGUUUGCUCCAGAAUCCACAGGCCUCGCUCAGCUCCUCAGGGAAAAAUCAGCUGAGCGUUCCAGCCAGUGAGAAAUCCUGGUUUUCCUGCCCCAAACACCUCGGUUUGUCACUUAAAUUCACCCUUAAAUAGAUCCAGCCCUUCCCAGAUUGAACAGAUCCGGUUCCUCCCGUUCCCACUGCACUGGAUGAUUCCCAUCCCUGACUGCACUGCUGGGAAGGGGCAGGUGGAGAUGCUUUGGCUGCCUGGAGGCAGAGAGAGCACCACAGCCAACCCCAAAAUCCCAGGAAGCCUGGACAGACCCCUGGAAAUGGGGAUCCAGGGCACCUGGACAAGGCUCCUUUGGGAUGGGGCACAGAUGUGGGAUUGUCAGUGCAGGGAAGGGGCAAGGGAGAUCCAGGAAGGGGGUCUGGUAUGGAAUUGCAGUGGGAAAACUGGGUUUGAGGGGGCCUGGUCUUGCAGGGGACCCCUCUGGUAGGACCCCCCCCCAUUUUCAGCAUCCUGGAGGGGGAGCCCAGGGGGGUUCUGGCAAAAUCCAAAGGAUAAGGGAAUCAAGGAGGAGCUUUUCCAAAAGCAAUAUUCCCACUGGAGCGUCAGCACGUGCAAACACACCUUCCCCAUCCCUGUGUGGGCAUCCUGGUUGGGAUGCAGGGUAUUCCUGGGCAUUCCUGGGCAUCCCUGGGGAAAUCCCUGUGCCUGGAAGGGAUCAGGGUCCCCGCACUGACCCCCCACCCCACACAGAUCCAAACCCCAGAGUGGGAGAUCCCUCAAAGGGGGAGCCAACAGGAAGAGUCACUUUUGGGGGAUUUAUGGAAUGUGGGACCCCAUAAAGAGGCGCCAGAGCCUGGACAGGCAGGGGGGACACAAGGAAUGCCCCAGGGAGCCAGUUAAUGAGGGAAUUUGGGCUCAGGAAGGGCAGAGGGGAAAGCUGGGAGCAGGGAGGGGGAUGCAGCCAUAGGGAUAACGCAGGAGACUGGAAUUGGGAGGGGGGGAUGCAACCUGGGGUAGUGGGAGGUGUCCCUGCCCGUGGCAGGGGGUGGGACUGGAUGGGCUUUAAGGUCCCUUCCAACCCAAACCAGUCCAGGAUUCCGUGACCCCACUCUCCUGCCACCUCCAGUGAUGUGGAUUUUCCUGCUCCUCCUGCCACCUGCCCCCUCUCAAGGUGCCCCGAGGUGCCACCAGGCACCCAAAUACCCACUGACCCCAAAUUCCUGCCUGUCCCCUCCCAAAGGGAGCUGGAGCCAGACCCCAAUAGAAAUGUCCCCAAGCGCACAGCGGGACUGGGAUGGAGGGAGGGAUUUGGGAAGGGAAUCGGGAUGGUGGUGGCACAGCCACCUCUCAUCUGUGCCAUGGGGGCUUGGCCCUGGCUCUCCCCAGGCUGGCACUGGGCUCACACCAGUUUCUCCCAUCAGCAGGUGACAGGAGUGGACGCUGUGGGGUCCAGGUGACCGAGGAAGGCCGGAGAAAAGCCCAGGCUGGCUCUGGAGCGUGGGCAGGAUCCGUGGGACGCUCAUCCCGUGCCCAGGUGCCAGAGGGGACAGCGAGGUGACAUCCCAGGAAGCUGGAAGGACACGGAGCCGCUGCCACCCAGCCCAGGGCAGCGGGAGGAUGGUCUGCAGCCAGCGAGGGAAAGGGGGAAAAUUCCAGUGCAUUAAAGGUGUUGAAAGCCC